AAUAGAAGUAUUUCUGUCCUGUCUGAUCUUGGAUGCUAAGCAGGAUCAGGCCUGGUUAGUACUUGAAUGGGAGACCACCUAGGAAGACCAGGUGCUGUAGGCG
rnacentral:rRNA from 1 species